UUAAAAAUUAAACAUCAAUUUUACAAUAAUUAAUGAAGAUGAUAAUAUAUAAGUUGAUCUCUAAUGAUAUUACAGAUAUGAGCCAUAUCUUAUGAAGGUGUUAUGGAUGAUAGCAAGGAUGAACAUUCAUCAACAUGAUGAUCUUCCUCCUCAUCAUGCUCUAUUCGAUCUUCCCUUUCAUGGCACAUAAAAUCAGAAUCAGAAUUAGAUUGUCUUCUAAUGAAAUUAUGUAUUAUCAUUGUUGCAACAAUGAUUUGAACUUGUAUUUUAUAGUCGUACCUAGGCAUAUUGUGUAAAAUUGCAAAUUUGUUCUUCCAAACUCCAAAUGUUCUUUUUAUUGUGCAUUGUAAACUUGAAUGAAAAUAAUUAAAGACCUCAUUAAGAUUUGCAAAUUUAGUUGAUCUUCUAAAAUCAAAAAGAUGAUAGCAUUCCCACCUAUACAUUCCAAGAUAUCAAUUUGGUGUUGGAUAGCUGACAUCCAUCAAAUAAUAUUUACCUUGUAAAAAAGAGAUUAUUAUCAAUGUUUGUAAGUUGAAAAGCCCAACAUAAAUAAAUUAAACCAAUAAAUAUACCUGAAGACAAAUGUGGAAAGUUUAUUGACAACCAAGUUGUCAAAGCACGAUCAAAAAUGCGAGCAUCGUGUGUAGUACCCUCACAUCCAGCCAAGACAAAAGCAAAGUAUAUAUGCCAAUCACACAUAGCCAUUACAUUUUUGCAUUGGGAUUUCUUUUCUUCUAAUAUAUUUUGAUUUCUCAUUGGCUAGGACUACACAUGGAAUAUGUGCAUCAUCAAUUGCUCCAAUUGUAUUUUUAAAAAAUGGCCAAUAUCACUUACCAUUUUUUUUUGUGUGUGACAAAAGGACCUAUCUUGUGGUUUGAUAUAUUCCAUUGUAAGUUUAGAGCAAGCCAUUAAAAGUUCAUGGAAAUGUCUGUGAAUAGUCUCUCUUAAGUGUUGAAAUCUUUCUUAUGUCAUCCUGUUUCCUAACCCAUGUCCAAUUAUAUUUAAAAGUAUUGCAACCAUUUCUUGUACUCUCAUUUAUUUUGUAUCCUUCUGUCCAUACUGUACCAAUUCACUGUAUAAUUGAUGAAACACAUAUGGCUCCAUUCUAAACAUUUCAUAGCAACAAAUUGAGUGUCCUUUUAAGAUUUCAUUCACCCACAAAUGACUUGUAUAUUCACUAUUUCUACAUGGCUCUUUACAUAAAUGUCUUACUGCAUCAACCUAAUCAAGGGACCAACUUUUUGGGAUUUUUUAACCUUUUUUAUAUGACUCUUCCAUACUCCUUAUGUAACAUCUCAAAUUUUAAUCCUUGGAUUACUAAGGAAUUAUUCAAGUUUAAUCAUGAUAAUUGAGUGAUUUGAUAUGGUGUGUGGCAGAGAAGUCUAAUAAGUAUAUUUGGUUGUGCUUUGAGCCCUACUUAUGGGUUCAAAGUGAAAGCAGGCCACCUGAGCAUUGAGGAGAAAACAUGAAGGGAUUGUCUUUGUGCCACAUGCCAUGACACUCAGUGCAUCCACCGCAACGUAAAGAUGAGAAACAAUGAAAGAGCACCUCUUUAUGCCAUGCACAAUGACACGGCAUGUGCUGUGUGCCAUAGUGCAUGGCCAAAAUUUUUUAUAAGUGGCUCACAAGCUGAAACAGAAAUUAGAAGAGGAAGAAGAGAAAAACAAAGGAGCUCGUUCUUGCUUUACUCAGGUUUACCAUAUUGAUGGUUUGAGAGUAUUUUGGUGCUAGAAAACAACUAUGAUUAAUUGUCCAAGCACUACUUUGGGCUUCAAAAGCAAGCUUGAAAGCUAGUUAUUGAAGAAUAAACCUUUGAUCUCUCAAAUGUUUAAGGCUCUGGCUCCAGUAUGAAAAGGAAAAAGCUACAGAGACUUAGAAAUUUAAGAUUCCUACUGCAUAGCCUCUUGAUUCUAUUUUUCUCUGUAAUAUUUGAUAUAUUACCAAUUAGGUUAUAUUUUGCAUAUACUUGUACUUUUAAUGUUUAUGAUUUUUGAAAUAUAUUUUAAGCUUUAGGUUGUUGUUGUAUGUUGCUCAAGUGUAUUGUAGGGCUAAAAUAUUAGUAUAAGUAUAGGGAUGUUCAUUUAAUUUUAACUGUGAAUGUUGAUAUUGAAAUGUAAUGCUAAAAUCUCCUUCUUCUAUUUUUAGUAUUAAAGGGGUUGAAAGGUGAAAA